UGGGGAAUAUUGCGCAAUGGGCGAAAGCCUGACGCAGCGACGCCGCGUGAGGGAUGAAGGUUUUCGGAUCGUAAACCUCUGUCAGAAGGGAAGAAACCGCACUGUGCUAAUCAGCAGUGCCUUGACGGUACCUUCAAAGGAAGCACCGGCUAACUCCGUGCCAGCAGCCGCGGUAAUACGGAGGGUGCAAGCGUUAAUCGGAAUUACUGGGCGUAAAGCGCACGUAGGCUGCUUUGUAAGUCAGGGGUGAAAUCCCACGGCUCAACCGUGGAACUGCCUUUGAUACUGCUUAGCUUGAAUCCGGCAGAGGGUGGCGGAAUUCCAGGUGUAGGAGUGAAAUCCGUAGAUAUCUGGAGGAACAUCAGUGGCGAAGGCGGCCACCUGGACCGGUAUUGACGCUGAUGUGCGAAAGCGUGGGGAGCAAACAGG
rnacentral:rRNA from 1 species